GAGGGUAUAGCUCAGUGGUAGAGCGCACGCUUAGUAGCAGAGUGUGUGCUUAGCAUGCAUGAGGUCCUGGGUUUAAUCUCCAGUACCUCCA
rnacentral:tRNA from 1 species